rnacentral:rRNA from 1 species
UGGUCAAGUUAUUAAGGGUGCAGGGCGGAUGCCUUGGCACUAGGAGCCGAUGAAGGACGUGAUAAGCUGCGAUAAGCUUCGGGGAGUUGCACGUAAACUUUGAUCCGAAGAUUUCCGAAUGAGGAAACUCACUUAGAGUAAUGUCUAAGUAUCAUUAAGUGAAUACAUAGCUUAAUGAGGGGAACUCAGGGAACUGAAACAUCUAAGUACCUGAAGGAAGAGAAAGAAAUUCGAUUCCGUAAGUAGCGGCGAGCGAACGCGGAUUAGCCCAAACCAAUAAAGUUUUCUUUAUUGGGGUGCAGGGCGGAUGCCUUGGCACUAGGAGCCGAUGAAGGACGUGAUAAGCUGCGAUAAGCUUCGGGGAGUUGCACGUAAACUUUGAUCCGAAGAUUUCCGAAUGAGGAAACUCACUUAGAGUAAUGUCUAAGUAUCAUUAAGUGAAUACAUAGCUUAAUGAGGGGAACUCAGGGAACUGAAACAUCUAAGUACCUGAAGGAAGAGAAAGAAAUUCGAUUCCGUAAGUAGCGGCGAGCGAACGCGGAUUAGCCCAAACCAAUAAAGUUUUCUUUAUUGGGGUUGCGGACAUAUCAUAACGAAGAGGUAUCAUAAUUGAAGAGGUUUGGAAAGACCCACCACAGAAGGUAAUAGUCCUGUAUGUUAAACGAGAAGACUUCAGAUAUGAUCCAGAGUACCACGGGACACGUGAAACCCUGUGGGAAGCAGGAGGGACCACCCUCCAAGGCUAAAUACUACCUAGUGACCGAUAGCGUAUAGUACCGUGAGGGAAAGGUGAAAAGAACCCCGGGAGGGGAGUGAAAUAGAACCUGAAACCCUGCACUUACAAGCUGUGGAAGCACAUUUCUUGUGUGACCGCGUACUUUUUGUAGAACGGGCCAACGAGUUACGUUAAGUAGCAAGGUUAAGCACUUAAGGUGUGGAGCCGUAGCGAAAGCGAGUUUUAACUGAGCGUUCAGUUACUUGACGUAGACCCGAAACCGGGCGACCUACCCAUGAGCAGGAUGAAGCGAAAGUAAAAUUUCGUGGAGGUCCGAACCCACGAGCGUUGAAAAGCUCGGGGAUGACUUGUGGGUAGCGGUGAAAUUCCAAUCGAGCCCGGAGAUAGCUGGUUCUCCCCGAAAUAGCUUUAGGGCUAGCCUCAAGGUGAGAGAUACG